rnacentral:siRNA from 1 species
AACGGUAAUUUACUUUGGGUAUAU